UACAGAGGUCUCAAGCGUUGUUCGGAUUCAUUGGGCGUAAAGGGUGCGUAGGUGGCGCCGUAAGUCGGGUGUGAAAUUUCGGAGCUUAACUCCGAAACUGCAUUCGAUACUGCGGUGCUUGAGGACUGGAGAGGAGACUGGAAUUUACGGUGUAGCGGUGAAAUGCGUAGAGAUCAUGAGGAAGACCAGUGGCGAAGGCGGGUCUCUGGACAGUUCCUGACACUGAGACACGAAGGCCAGGGGAGCAAACGGG
rnacentral:rRNA from 1 species